rnacentral:rRNA from 1 species
UACGUAGGGUGCAAGCGUCAAUCGGAAUUACUGGGCGUAAAGCGUGCGCAGGCGGUUUUGUAAGUCUGUCGUGAAAUCCCCGGGCUUAACCUGGGAAUUGCGAUGGAGACUGCAAGGCUGGAGUCUGGCAGAGGGGGGUAGAAUUCCACGUGUAGCAGUGAAAUGCGUAGAGAUGUGGAGGAACACCGAUGGCGAAGGCAGCCCCCUGGGUCAAGACUGACGCUCAUGCACGAAAGCGUGGGGAGCAAACAGG